UCCGCUACGGGGACAGAGAGAAGGCCAAGGCAGCCAGGAGGGCUAGCCCACGGCUCCCGCCUCGUCCCCUGGGCUCCCUCAGGAACGGGGCGUCUGCGGCGAGGCUCGGGCCUGCUGAGGCCGCCCGGUUCUAACUACGGCCUGGUUUGUAUUGGGAGGCCGCCUCCGGCAGCGACCGUCAGGAAAACAAAGACAAGAGCAGCAAACAACCAAAGAACCAAGUCAAGCUGGAGACCGGGCCUCUUACCUGCAGAGUGAUGUUUGUCUGAGGUUGAACCUUGGCUGAAGGUAUCUGAAGCUUAAAAAGCACCGCAGUAAUCCUGCUCUAAUGUUAAUUGCAGUGAAGUCUGUUCAAGAAAACAACCUGUGUGUGAAGACCACCUGCCUCCAUGCUAACUCUUCGAAGAAAUGAUUAUAUUCUUUAUAUGUGCGAUACAUUCUGAGGCCAGAAUUUAAUGAUCACCUGGGAUAUAUAGCCAGGGAACUCAGCAAGGUUCUAAGAGGAAAUGAUCUCCUUAUAAAAAUCAUGUGUAGUUUUUUUUUUUCAAAUUCAGAAAUAAAACCAUUAAUAAGCAUGUUUACCCUUCA